rnacentral:hammerhead_ribozyme from 1 species
AACUAGCUGAUGAGUCCCAAAUAGGACGAAAUGAGCGUUUUAUAU